GUCUAUAGCCAUGCUACCCUGAACAAGCCCGAUCCUGUUUGAUCUCAGAAGCUAAGCAGAGUUGGGCCUGGUUAGUGCUUGGAUGGGAGACCACCUAGGAAGACCAGGUGCUGUAGGUG
rnacentral:rRNA from 1 species